rnacentral:rRNA from 1 species
CCAAUAGCGUAUAUUAAAGUUGUUGCAGUUAAAAAGCUCGUAGUUGAAUUUCGGGAUUUAUCCGUCGGUCGGGCUUUUGGGUCUGUACUGGCGUGAUGGAUUCCUACCUUCUGAAUAACCGGCAUGUCAUUAAUUUGGUGCGCCGGGGAAGCAGGACUGUUACCUUGAAAAAAUUAGAGUGCUUAAAGCAGGCUUAUGCCUGAAUACAUUAGCAUGGAAUAAUGAAAUAGGACGGCAUGGUUCUAUUUUGUUGGUUUCUAGGAUCACCGUAAUGAUUAAUAGGGAUAGUUGGGGGCAUUAGUAUUCAAUCGUCAGAGGUGAAAUUCUUGGAUUUAUUGAAGACUAACUUCUGCGAAAGCAUUUGCCAAGGAUGUUUUCAUUAAUCAAGAACGAAAGUUAGGGGAUCGAAGACGAUCAGAUACCGUCGUAGUCUUAACCAUAAACUAUGCCGACUAGGGAUCGGACGAUGUUAAUUUUUUAAUGACUCGUUCGGCGCCUUACG